rnacentral:lncRNA from 10 species
GGGGAGUGUUAAUUUAAUAACCUCAAUUCUUAGCAUGGUGUUUGGCCUGUGGCUGACAUCCAUUAAUUGCCUAUUGAAUUUCAUUGAAUUGAAUUCUAUGCAGAGAAUCAGCAGAAAGAGUUGGCAGGCGGGAGAAGUAGGAUCCAGAGAAACAGCGAGGGUGACAUUUAGAAGUAGGCUCGGCUGCUCUACAAGGAAGGGAGCUCCCAUCCCUGCAGAACAAGGGGGAGUCUCCCUGCACAAGCUCUCUCUCUUUGCCUGCUGUCAUCCACCUAAGAUGUAACUUGCUCCUCCUUGCCUUCCACCAUGAUUGUGAGGCUUCCCCAGCCACGUGGAACUGUUCAAAUUUCCAUCUGGUGUCAUUUUUCUUCUACCUGAAGAAUUUUCUUGAAUAUUCCUUAUAGCAUAGGUCUGCUGGCAAUAAAUUAUCAGUUUUGGCUUGUCUGAAAAUUUUUUGUUUUGCUUUAAUUUUUUAAACCACUUUUUUGAGAUAUAAUUGAUAUACAAUAAACUGCACAAAUUUAAAGUGUAUAAUUUAACAAGGUUUGAUGUUUGUGUACACCUAUGAAACAAUUACCACAAUCAAAAUAAUGAAUAUAUCCAUAACUCCCCAAAGUUUCUUCAUUUCUCUUUGUAAUCCCUCUUUCCACUUCUCCAUGUUACCGCUUCCUUGGGCAAGAACUGAUCUACUAAUCUAUGAUCACAGAUUAGUUUUCACUUUUCCUAGAAUUUUAUGUAAAUAGAAUCAUAUAGUGUGCACUCAUUUUUGUCUGGCUUUUUUUUUUUUUUUUUUUUUUUGAGACCGGAUCUUGCUCUUUUACCCAGGCUGUGCAGUGGCACCAUCUUGGCUCAUUGCAAUCUCCACCUCCUAGCCUUAAGGGAUCCUCCUGCCUCAGCCCCCUAAGUACCUGGGAUUACAGGCACAAGCCACCACACCUGGCUAAUUUUUGUAUUUUUUUGUAGAGAUGGGGUUUCACUAUCUCUACACCAUGUUGCCCAAGCUGGUCUUGUACUCCUCAGCUCAAGUGAUCCACUCACCUUGGCCUUCUGAAGUAUUAGGAUGACAGACAAGCCACCAUGCCCAGCUGUCUGGCUUCUUUCACUUAGAAUAAUUACUUUGAGUUUCAUUUAUUUUGCAUGUAUCAAUAUAUCAUAUGACAUAAUUUGUAUGUUUAUUCAUCUGUUAAUGGACAUAUGGGUCAUUUCCAGGUUUUGGCUAUUACAAAUAAAACUUCUGUGAACCUUUGUGUGCAUGCUUUUAUUUAGAAAUAUGCGUUAAUUUCUCUUGGUUUUUGCCUAAUUUUUUAAAGAUAUUUUUGACCAGUGUAGAAUUCUAGAAUUGCGAGCCUUUUUCUUUCCAUAUCUUUGUGAUGUCAUCUGGUUUGCAAGUCUGAGGCAAGUCUGGUUUGCAAGUCUGCUGUAAUUCUUACUUUUAUUCCUUUAUGUAUAAUGCAUCUUUUUUCCUCUGGCUGAUUUAAAUUUUUUUAUCUUUUUCAUUAAAUUUCAGCAAUUUGAUUAUGAUGUGCCUUGUGUGGUUUUUCUUCAUGUUUGGGAUUUAUUGAGCGUUUUGGAUCUGUAGGUUUAUCAUUUUUAUCACAUUUGGAAAUUUUUUGACUAUUCUUCAAAUAUUUUU